rnacentral:rRNA from 1 species
GAUGAACGCUGGCGGCGUGCCUAAUACAUGCAAGUCGAGCGAACAGACGAGGAGCUUGCUCCUCCGACGUUAGCGGCGGACGGGUGAGUAACACGUGGAUAACCUACCUAUAAGACUGGGAUAACUUCGGGAAACCGGAGCUAAUACCGGAUAAUAUAUUGGACCGCAUGGUUCAAUAGUGAAAGACGGUUUUGCUGUCACUUAUAGAUGGAUCCGCGCCGCAUUAGCUAGUUGGUAAGGUAACGGCUUACCAAGGCAACGAUGCGUAGCCGACCUGAGAGGGUGAUCGGCCACACUGGAACUGAGACACGGUCCAGACUCCUACGGGAGGCAGCAGUAGGGAAUCUUCCGCAAUGGGCGAAAGCCUGACGGAGCAACGCCGCGUGAGUGAUGAAGGUCUUCGGAUCGUAAAACUCUGUUAUUAGGGAAGAACAAAUGUGUAAGUAACUAUGCACGUCUUGACGGUACCUAAUCAGAAAGCCACGGCUAACUACGUG